AAGCGAUACGGUCCGGAUGAUAUUCACAGCGACAUGACGGAACCCGGUGGAAUCCCGGGACGGUCGCGCCACUGUAUGCCGGGCCCCGAGGUGGCCCGGUGAGUCAGACCCGUCAUACCGCACAGAGCUCC
rnacentral:ncRNA from 2 species